CAACAGGGAUUGCCUUAGUAACGGCGAGUGAAGCGGCAAAAGCUCAAAUUUGAAAUCUGGCACCUUCGGUGUCCGAGUUGUAAUUUGAAGAAGGUAACUUUGGAGUUGGCUCUUGUCUAUGUUCCUUGGAACAGGACGUCACAGAGGGUGAGAAUCCCGUGCGAUGAGAUGCCCAAUUCUAUGUAAAGUGCUUUCGAAGAGUCGAGUUGUUUGGGAAUGCAGCUCUAAGUGGGUGGUAAAUUCCAUCUAAAGCUAAAUAUUGGCGAGAGACCGAUAGCGAACAAGUACAGUGAUGGAAAGAUGAAAAGAACUUUGAAAAGAGAGUGAAAAAGUACGUGAAAUUGUUGAAAGGGAAGGGCUUGAGAUCAGACUUGGUAUUUUGCGAUCCUUUCCUUUUUGGUUGGGUUCUCCGCAGCUUACUGGGCCAGCAUCGGUUUGGACGGUAGGAUAAUGAUUAAGGAAUGUGGCUCUGCUUCGGUGGAGUGUUAUAGCCUUGGUUGAUGCUGCCUGUCUAGACCGAGGACUGCGUCUUUUGACUAGGAUGUUGGCAUAA
rnacentral:rRNA from 1 species